rnacentral:rRNA from 1 species
GACGAACGCUGGCGGCGUGCUUAACACAUGCAAGUCGAACGAUGAACGCUGGAGCUUGCUCCGGCUGGAUUAGUGGCGAACGGGUGAGUAACACGUGAGCAAUCUGCCCUUGACUCUGGGAUAACUCCGAGAAAUCGGUCCUAAUACCGGAUAUGACCCUUGGCGGCAGCGCUGGGGGUGGAAAGUCUUUCGGUAAAGGAUGAGCUCGCGGCCUAUCAGCUUGUUGGUGAGGUAAUGGCUCAACAAGGCGACGACGGGUAGCCGGCCUGAGAGAGUGUCCGGCCACACUGGGACUGAGGCACGGCCCAGACUCCUACGGGGGGCAGCAGUAGGGAAUAUUGCACAAUGGGCGCAAGCCUGAUGCAGCAACACCGCGUGGGGGAUGACGGCCUUCGGGUUGUAAACCUCUUUUAGCAGGGAAGAAGCGAAAGUGACGGUACCUGCAGAAAAAGCACCGGCUAACUACGUGCCAGCAGCCGCGGUAA